GCCACCACCAGCCGGGCUCAAGCCCCUUCCCCAGGGAAUGACUUUGCCACUGGCAGACCUGGGCCUUGCCUCCAUGGCCCCCAGGCAGACAGCUUCCAGAAAGUUCUGCAUGCCCUUCCCCCAGGGCAGCCUCAGGGAAAGGCAGCUCAAGGCCAACCAAGCUCUUCACAGGGGUUUCAUAAGGCUGCAGGAGAAACCACACUGUGGGCUCAGAAGCAGCAGAAUUGUUAUCUAACCCGCUAACAGCAUGGUACUAACUCCUACUUCUGUCUCGUGUUUAGGAUCGAAGUGAUGUGGAGAGCCCUGCCUGCCCCGGUGGUACGGGGGCUGUAGUCAGGAGGCAAGGAGGAGCAAAGGAGGAGAAUAUUGCCUCAUCUUCUGCUCACAACAAGCCCAGGCCACCUGGCAUGGGAGCGGGAUGGGCAUAGCAGGGAGCAUGUGAAUCACCUCGGACGUGCAGUUCUGUGAAGAAGAGCUGUGUGUUUGUGUUGGAAGUGCUGUAAUGUUUGGCACACUGAGACUUCUACCUGCUCACCACGACUGGUAUUCCCUGUUCUGCAAGACGGGGAGAAAAGGAGCAUAUACAAUGAAAUGGAUCCUUGGAUUUUGGAUCUUGAGGUGACCUUGACUCCACAAAUCUCCUGAACAAUUAAACUGCAGAACAGUUGAUUGCUUCUUUGUUUGUGUGGCAAUAGAUUAUGGAAUAAGAUAAAAGGAGCCUUCAAAACCUA